rnacentral:rRNA from 1 species
UACGGGGGGGGCAAGCGUUGUUCGGAAUUACUGGGCGUAAAGGGCUCGUAGGUGGCCAACUAAGUCAGACGUGAAAUCCCUCAGCUUAACUGGGGAACUGCGUCUGAUACUGGGUGGCUUGAGUUUGGGAGAGGGAUGCGGAAUUCCAGGUGUAGCGGUGAAAUGCGUAGAUAUCUGGAGGAACACCGGUGGCGAAGGCGGCAUCCUGGACCAAUACUGACACUGAGGAGCGAAAGCCAGGGGAGCAAACGGG